rnacentral:piRNA from 1 species
UCUGAAGGAAACCUCGAGAGUGUCUUUGU